rnacentral:tRNA from 1 species
GCGGCUGUAGUUCAGUGGCAGAACGCUUGGUUGUGGCCCAAGAGGUCGUGGGUUCGAAACCCACCAGUCGCC